rnacentral:rRNA from 1 species
GUGCCAGCCGCCGCGGUAAUACGGAGGAUCCAAGCGUUAUCCGGAUUUAUUGGGUUUAAAGGGUGCGUAGGCGGCUUUUUAAGUCAGGGGUGAAAGACGGUAGCUCAACUAUCGCAGUGCCCUUGAUACUGAAGAGCUUGAAUGGACUAGAGGUAGGCGGAAUGUGACAAGUAGCGGUGAAAUGCAUAGAUAUGUCACAGAACACCGAUUGCGAAGGCAGCUUACUAUGGUUUAAUUGACGCUGAGGCACGAAAGCGUGGGGAUCAAACAGGAUUAGAUACCCUCGUAGUCC